AUGAGUGUGGAAGGUGAAAGAAUCUUCAGGCAGAGAGAACCACUGAUAAUGGGAGCCAAUCCGCCUGGGUUCCAACCCCAGGCCCUUCCCAGCCCGACCCCCAGUGGUGGGACUUCUCUGUGCCUCAGUUUCCUACUCUUUAAGAGGGAGCGAGACAGCACCAACUCCGUAGGUCUGAGAGGACCACAUGCUUGGAAGACAGCCCUGCGCCUGGUGUGGCAGCCACUCCUUCCGAGAGCGCUGGUCACCAUCGCGGGGAGGAGGGAGGUCGCUGUCGCCGAGAGCCCAAGGACCGGCGCUGACUGCCAGACCCUUCUCCACACCCGCCAGGUUCCCGACCUCGGUCCUCAGAGGCCACGGAAGGGGGCCCCUCCUUCCAGGACUGCUGCAAGGUCGCCCUGCGGACAAGCGCCCCUUGCAGCCCAGGCGCCGGGGAAGCGGUGGAGGCACCGGAGACCGGGUCGGGGGUCUCGGGCGCAGCCCCAGGACCUGCGGAACCCGGCCCGCUGCACAGACGCACGUGCUCCAGAAGGUGGCGCUGUCGCCCCUGGAACGAAGCAGGUCCCGCAGGCGGCGCUCGCCGAGGGGAGGGGGUCGCGAGAGCGGGAAGGGAGGGACGGGAGAGCAGGGCGCCUCCCUCCGCCCCGCCGGCCCCGGCGCCCGAUGCGGUCCCUGCGAGCACCCACCCAGGGAGAUCUCAUUGCCGGCCCCUGCUCCCACUCCUGGCCGCUCCGAUGCCUGUGGCAGCCGGGGUCCUGCACCCACCUCACCUGCGUGCGGGGUGACCUUUCAUGCCGGGCCAGCCCCCCAGUACCCCCUUCUCAGCACACCCGGGUCCCCGAGCGGGCCAGGUGGUUCCCUGGGUGUGGGUGCCGCCGGCACAGCUGGGCUGGAUGCUCGCACGCCUGGGUCCGACUGGCUGCGGGUGCGCGCUCCUGCAGGGCUCGGGUUCAAGUCCUGGCCGUGACACUUGGACCCCUCCACAGCACGCCCCUCAUUUCCCCCCUGUAA
rnacentral:lncRNA from 13 species